GCCGUGGUAGUUCAGCGGUAGAAUUCUCACCUUCCAUGCUGGAGACCCAGGUUCGAUCACUGGCCAAGGCA
rnacentral:tRNA from 1 species